UACGGAGGGUGCUAGCGUUGUUCGGAAUCACUGGGCGUAAAGGGCGUGUAGGCGGUCUGUUAAGUCUGAUGUGAAAUCCCCUCGCUCAACGAGGGAACUGCGUCGGAUACUGGCAGACUCGAGUACCGGAGAGGAAGGUGGAAUUCUCGGUGUAGCGGUGAAAUGCGUAGAUAUCGAGAGGAACACCUGCGGCGAAGGCGGGUUGCUGGGCUGACACUGACGCUGAACUGCGAAAGCUAGGGGAGCGAACGGG
rnacentral:rRNA from 1 species